rnacentral:rRNA from 1 species
UACGUAGGGUGCAAGCGUUGUCCGGAAUUACUGGGCGUAAAGCGCACGUAGGCGGCUUUGUAAGUUAGAGGUGAAAGCCCGGGGCUCAACUCCGGAACUGCCUUUAAGACUGCAUCGCUUGAACGUCGGAGAGGUAAGUGGAAUUCCGAGUGUAGAGGUGAAAUUCGUAGAUAUUCGGAAGAACACCAGUGGCGAAGGCGACUUAUUGGACGACUGUUGACGCUGAGGUGCGAAAGCGUGGGGAGCGAACAGG